rnacentral:lncRNA from 1 species
GCCUCCCCGCUGCCCCCUGCCCACAGCGUCCAGCCAGAUCUCGCGCUUCGUCUCGCGUCCUGUGUGCCCGGUACCUGAGCAGCCUUUCACCUUCAGCCGACACAGGAAGAGGAUCCUCAG